rnacentral:rRNA from 1 species
CCUACGGGCGGGCAGCAGUGGGGAAUAUUGGACAAUGGGGGCAACCCUGAUCCAGCCAUGCCGCGUGUGUGAAGAAGGCCCUCGGGUUGUAAAGCACUUUCAGUGAGGAAGAACGCCUGGUGGUUAAUACCCAUCAGGAAAGACAUCACUCACAGAAGAAGCACCGGCUAACUCCGUGCCAGCAGCCGCGGUAAUACGGAGGGUGCGAGCGUUAAUCGGAAUUACUGGGCGUAAAGCGCGCGUAGGUGGCUUGAUAAGCCGGUUGUGAAAGCCCCGGGCUCAACCUGGGAACGGCAUCCGGAACUGUCAAGCUAGAGUGCAGGAGAGGAAGGUAGAAUUCCCGGUGUAGCGGUGAAAUGCGUAGAGAUCGGGAGGAAUACCAGUGGCGAAGGCGGCCUUCUGGACUGACACUGACACUGAGGUGCGAAAGCGUGGGUAGCAAACAGGAUUAGAUACCCGAGUAGUC